rnacentral:rRNA from 1 species
GCUAACAUGCAGUCGAGCGGCAGCGGGAAGUAGCUUGCUACUUUUGCCGGCGAGCGGCGGACGGGUGAGUAAUGCCUGGGAAAUUGCCCAGUCGAGGGGGAUAACAGUUGGAAACGACUGCUAAUACCGCAUACGUCCUACGGGGGAAAGCAGGGGACCUUCGGGCCUUGCGCGAUUGGAUAUGCCCAGGUGGGAUUAGCUAGUUGGUGAGGUAAUGGCUCACCAAGGCGACGAUCCCUAGCUGGUCUGAGAGGAUGAUCGGCCACACUGGAACUGAGACACGGUCCAGACUCCUACGGGAGGCAGCAGUGGGGAAUAUUGCACAAUGGGGGAAACCCUGAUGCAGCCAUGCCGCGUGUGUGAAAGAAAGGGCCCUUCGGGUUGUAAAGCACUUUCAGCGAGGAGGAAAGGUCAGUAGCUAAUAUCUGCUGACUGUGACGUUACUCGCAGAAGAAGCACCGGCUAACUCCGUGCCAGCAGCCGCGGUAAUACGGAGGGUGCAAGCGUUAAUCGGAAUUACUGGGCGUAAAGCGCACGCAGCGGUUGGAUAAGUUAGAUGUGAAAGCCCCGGGCUCAACUGGAAUUGCAUUUAAAACUGUCCAGCUAGAGUCUGUAGAGGGGGUAGAAUUCCAGGUGUAGCGGUGAAAUGCGUAGAGAUCUGAGAAUACCGGUGGCGAAGGCGCCCCUGACAAAGACUGACGCUCAGGUGCGAAAGCGUGGGGAGCAAAAGAUAAGAUACCCUGUAGUCCACGCC